GUGACAACUCUAUGCCUGUGAACCGAGAUUUCCCUGGGACUGCGGCAAACUAUGUAGGAUGGUAAUUGUACCUACGAAAGGUUGACUGCUAAAGACUUACAUUGCUUGAGGAAGAGGUCCAGAAGUGAAGGAAAAGGAGUCAGUAAUGGCUUUUGCUCAGGUAAAGUCAAUCUUGUGCUGAUUGAGCUCCUGCCUCACACAUUUGCUUUCCCUCACCUGGUCCUCCCUAAGACUCUCCCAGCUCCACCCACCAAGGGCGAUCUUGUGAGCAGGCUCUGUUGGUCAUGGUCCCAG
rnacentral:lncRNA from 1 species